AGUUGAUUUUAACUCCCAAAGUGUAGUUUUAACUAUUUCUGAUUUAAUUUGUGUUCAGUGUUGUAGUUAAUUGACAGAGUUGAUCAAUCAGUGUUAACACAGAGUCAAUCUUAGCUCCGCCAAUGCAGGUCCCCUGCACAUUUCACCUCGUUGGUUGGAGACACAGAGACAAGCUGGCUAUUUUUCCUCCUUUCAUGCGGUUUUAGACGGAUCAGCUUGCUGAGGUAAAGCAGCAGACACACAAACUUCAAGUGGCCAAUCACACCCUGGAGACAACAAACCAGCACUUUCUGAAGACUGUGAGAUAACAGAACAAUGAGAUGGAGGACCUACACAGCCAGCUGAGGUAAGCCAGCUGAGGUAAGCUGGCUGAGUAGGCAGC